GGAGUGGUGGCUGGUGAGAAGGGCAUGGCCAAAGUGUGAAGGGCAAAGUCAUGGAGGUCAAGGUGUGGGGGAUCAUCUCAUCAAGUCCUCCAAGAAGCAGGUACAAAGAGUAGGGACCUCUUUUCCCCAAACUAGCCCCUAAUCCAGGUGGGCACAAGGCCUUCCCAGGCUGCAGAUUCUGGGGCAGGUUUUGCCUGAAACCAACAAAGCAUCUGGUCUCCGCAAAAGGCUGAAUGAUUUAUUUUCUGACCCAGCUAAUGCUUUGAAAAAGUGCUGGGGGCCCUCCUGACCUGGGGAUGCCCGGGCACCUGGGGAACGUCCCAGCUCCUGGUGGGGAGGCCCCGCCACCCAGGUCUGGCCCAGAUCCAUGGGAAGACAAGCUUCCUUCUCACCUUUCCAGUGCGUCCUGAAACCAGAAGCCCCGUGACACUGGCUCCUUUUUCACUGCUCUGGGAUUUCGGCUCUGGCCAAGGCAGGACACCCAUGCUGCAGAGAAGCCUGAGAAGCCACUGGGACCAAGACCAAAUGCAUAGGGAGAAGACAUCUUCUACCAGAAGGCACUGUACACGUGAAUGUAAUGGUUGUGUAACACACCAGCCUGGUGGAUCCCUGCUCAGCUCGAGUCACCUCCGCCAGAAAGUCUUGCAUCGAAGGCCAGGAUCUAACUGUAAAUACAAAUCAGAACCAGUUUCUGAGUUGCCUAGAUGGGGAGGAAAGAGAAGAAGGUCAAGAGGUAAACUUUUUUGCUGCAUUCAACUUCUCAAAUCAUCUAGAAGCCUAGUUGCAAGGGCUCAAUUUGUCUCUUAGCAACAUCAGGAUUUGCAACCAGGAUCUCAGAUGCAAGAGUUAGAUCUUAACCCCCAGAAUAUAUGACUACUAAUUUGAUCACAUAAUCGUUGAAAUAAAAACAUAUCACUUAAAAAUUCUUGGUGAGAA
rnacentral:lncRNA from 13 species